CGCCAUCAUUGUGGACCUCUGGGUCGCCAUCUGGACACCUCUGCUGAGGUACGCCUUCGCCUUCGCACGCCGCCGACCUCCCAGAGGAGACGCCGCCACGACCUGCGCUAAACCCUAGGCAUCAACCACCGUGCUCCCGUCCUCCGGUUCCUCCUGCGUUCGCCACCAUGCGAUCGCCUUCCUCCCUCAGGUUCUUAUACGGAACAUACCACCAGACCCCGAUGAAUCAGUUAGCAAGCCUAUGGAACAUUUCUUCCUUGUCAAUCAUCCUGAUCAUCAUCUGAAAUAUCAGGUAAUCACUAAAUUUUGGAACAUCUCCCAUUUGAAGAAUCAUCUGCAAAUUCAAAUGUAAGGAAGUGUGCAGUGCAAGCAAUUAUCAGGGUAAAUCUAUUUCUCAAUUAUGUAUUUUUACCACUUCAUCAGGAGUGUAAACUGAUACUAUUUCCAACUACAAAGUGUUGGCUGCCCAGGAAGAAGGAAAGGUCAGUCCAGACAUGACAUUUAACUCUAAUAAUGGAGGUACGUAGUGCCUACUGCUCCCUUGUCCCUUGCUACCGGCUGGGGAUGCUCGGCUCGCCAGCGAUGGGGAUGCUCGGCGGGCAGUCCCUGCUCUCAUUUUCCUCCAGCCUCUGGUAACCCUCCUCCUCACCUGCCUCGCUGAAGCAGGAUUCACAGGGAGCAUCAGGUACAUCUUAUGUGAGGAUGAACCAUCAGCUAAAGGGAGUGAUAGGAAAAAAAUUUGUUGAAUGCAAUGGGAAGGCGAAAAACAACACGCCUUGGCGAAGCAACUCUAAGAUUCGGUAAGGCUAAUC